rnacentral:rRNA from 1 species
CCUACGGGGGGCAGCAGUGAGGAAUAUUGGUCAAUGGGCUUAAGCCUGAACCAGCCAAGCCGCGUGAGGGAAGACUGCCCUAUGGGUUGUAAACCUCUUUUGUCAGGGAGCAACGCCGGCUACGUGUAGCCGGACUGAGAGUACCUGAAGAAAAAGCAUCGGCAAACUCCGUGCCAGCAGCCGCGGUAAUACGGGGAAUGCGAGCGUUAUCCGGAUUUAUUGGGGUUAAAGGGUGCGUAGGAGGAAUGCCAAGUCAGCGGUAAAAUCGCGGGGCUCAAUCUCGCUCCGCCGGUGAAACUGGCUGUCUUGAGGGGGCGAGAAGUAUGCGGAAUGCGUGGUGUAGCGGUGAAAUGCAUAGAUAUCACGCAGAACUCCGAUUGCGAAGGCAGCAUACCGGCGCCCAACUGACGCUGAGGCACGAAAGCGUGGGUAUCGAACAGGAUUAGAUACCCGUGUAGUC